rnacentral:tRNA from 1 species
GAGGGUAUAGCUCAGUGGCAGAGCGCAUGCUUAGCAUGCAUGAGGUCCUGGGUUCAAUCCCCAGUACCUCUU